UAAUGUUUAUUUGUGGGGAUUGAAUAAUUAUCGCUGUAAAAUAAAAUGUGAAAUUUUAGAUCACAUUAAUGAUAAACCGUGCAAUGUAGUUGUAUCUGGGUUGUAUAGUUACCACUCUAACAAAUCAAUGAUUAAAUGUGAAACUGUCCUUUAUGUUAUUGCUUAGGGUCUCACCAUAAUUCCGGAAAUCAAGAAUCUUGAUUGAUCUAAAAUGUUAGGGAUGAAAACUGAUGGCUUUAUGAUCUGUUUUGUUCUUCAUCAUCUCCUUACGGAUCCUUCUUGACCACCUUUCCUGGAUGUGCUUAGUUUCAGGCAAAAUGGAAAACUAAAUUUUAUAUAGCUUGUGGCUAAGUGAAAUAUAAUCAAUUCUUAUGUUUUAUCUGGACAAAAUCCCAGUUCAAUGUGGAAAACUACUCGUGUGGGCGUCAUGGAAGGAAUGCAAGUAGGCUGGAGAAACGUAACCCCACACAGCUCCAAUUUGGAUAUUACAUUAUUUAUUUGAAAAAUGCGACAGGAAACUCAAAUUGAAUGGAUACGCAUGCUGGAAAUCCUAUGGUACUGUAUUUCAGCAAUAGAGGGCCAAUCAGAUAGGAUUUGAACAAUAAAGAAUGCUUGAACAUUCUGCUGUGCUGGGCUGUAAGUCAAGGCGUUCCUCAUUAAUAUUUAGCCUCCCCUUUUCUUUGAGUAGAAUAAGAAUUCGCUCAUGGACCAAAACUGCUUGGAAAUUUGGCUUGAGAUUAGGGCGUUGAUAGGCCAGACUU
rnacentral:lncRNA from 1 species